rnacentral:sRNA from 1 species
AGAGUUAAAUAGUACGUGAAAUUGUUGAAAGGGAAACGAUUGAAGUCAGUCAUGCUAGUGAAAAAUCAGUUUGACGGGUUUUGAGUUCGGGAGUAGAGACAGGGUCAAACCGUUUCUCUUUUGAACUUGGGAUUUGUCAGAUGUACUUUUUCUUUGGCAGGUCAGCGUCGGUUUCGGAGGUUGUAAAAUACUUGGGGGAAAGUAGCUCUGCUUCGGGAGAGUGUUAUAGACCCUGGGGGAUGCAGCCUGCGGGAUCGAGGAUUGCAGCAAAUGCUUUUUGGCUUGUCGCCUGAUCUCUGGAUGUUACCUUGCUUGUGACAACAUUCUUGUCACCGGUGAGUACUAAUGCCCAUUAGGUUAGAAUGAUCAAAAAUUUGCUAAGGAUGCUGACGUAAUGGCUUUAAACGACC